rnacentral:rRNA from 1 species
AGUCGAACGAGCGAGAGAGAGCUUGCUUUCUCGAGCGAGUGGCGAACGGGUGAGUAACGCGUGAGGAACCUGCCUCAAAGAGGGGGACAACAGUUGGAAACGACUGCUAAUACCGCAUAAGCCCACGGGUCGGCAUCGACCAGAGGGAAAAGGAGCAAUCCGCUUUGAGAUGGCCUCGCGUCCGAUUAGCUAGUUGGUGAGGUAACGGCCCACCAAGGCAACGAUCGGUAGCCGGACUGAGAGGUUGAACGGCCACAUUGGGACUGAGACACGGCCCAGACUCCUACGGGAGGCAGCAGUGGGGAAUAUUGCACAAUGGGGGAAACCCUGAUGCAGCGACGCCGCGUGGAGGAAGAAGGUCUUCGGAUUGUAAACUCCUGUUGUUGAGGAAGAUAAUGACGGUACUCAACAAGGAAGUGACGGCUAACUACGUGCCAGCAGCCGCGGUAAAACGUAGGUCACAAGCGUUGUCCGGAAUUACUGGGUGUAAAGGGAGCGCAGGCGGGAAGACAAGUUGGAAGUGAAAUCCAUGGGCUCAACCCAUGAACUGCUUUCAAAACUGUUUUUCUUGAGUAGUGCAGAGGUAGGCGGAAUUCCCGGUGUAGCGGUGGAAUGCGUAGAUAUCGGGAGGAACACCAGUGGCGAA